CUUUCCAACCGAGGUUGUACCUACCCGUCAAAGGAGAAGAUUUUACGAUGACGUGCAUCUAUUCGCCUCCUUUAAAUGAUCGUACAGUACAUUGGAGACAUGAGGGCAUCCAGGUAGCUUAUGAAUCGUGCACAACUACGAGUGAAUGCACAACUACUAUUCCUAAUCCUACAAAGUACAAGUUAAUGGGAGAUGACCGCAGCACAUCCCUUACAAUAGUCAAUUUGACCACUGGUGACAAUGGGAGAUACACAUGCGAUGUUUUUAACCUAGAUGGGCAACGUUCAGCGAAUGAACAUUUGGAAGCACUAAAUCCAGUUCCACCAGCAAGGGUCUUUGUAUCUGAUACCCAAUCGGGCUGGCAGUACUUGAACUACGCUAACAUAAGUAUAACUGCUGGAGAUCCGUAUAACAUCACCUGUGGGGUAAAUAGAGCAAGACCUCCUGCUGUUCUGCAAUGGCUAAUACCAGAGGACGUGACCGUUGUUGAUUACGAUCAGUCUGAUGACAUUCAAGACGGAUAUUACACAUCCCAGAAAUCUUUGACAAUCACACCAACCAGAAACGAUCACGGAAAUAUCAUCAGCUGCAUCGUAUCACAUCAAGAUCUACAAAGGAGAAUUAGAUACUUAGUUACUCUGAAUGUUCGUGUUCUACCAACCAGUGUGCUCCUCUUUCCAACUGGAGGUAACCAGUCACAAUCAACAGUCCUAUACGUUCAAGAAGAUUCACCGACUUCAAUCACUUGUAAAAGCAUCGGGUCAUUCCCAGCGACCGCACUAUCAUUUUGGUUAGUUGGCGACCUUGACAGGACGUCGAUCCGUGCAAAUGUAUCAAGUAAUAUGAGUGUUUUAGACGACGCUUUAU